ACAUAUUUAGUAUAAGUUAAUAUAUCGGAUUUAGGUUCCGCAGAUUUUUAAUAUGUU
rnacentral:tRNA from 1 species